UCAUACACACAUGGGCUCUCCUCCCAGGGUUAGCAGGAUGUUCUGGGGAAAGGCAAUCUCAACAGCAACAUCAGUCUGUGCAUGUUGUAAAAUCACUGUAGGGUAUUACCUAUGAAAGACCGAGUGCCUGAGAAACAGACAAAGUGGCAUCCAGGCAAAUGUCUUCGUAGUCAUGAUUGUCGGUGAAUAUGAGAUUGUAGAAGCAUGGGAAGACAAUGUCUUUUAUUAGACAAACUGGUAAAAAACAUCCACAUAAGCUUUUGGGUAAUUCAAAAGAAACAGCCCUGUCCCCUUUCUGGAUCAAGCCUCUUGAUACCCAGUGUUUCUCUCCAGCUCUCUUCAGCCUUGCCUAACGACAUUCUCAGCAGGACUUUAGAGGCUUGUCCCAGUGUAACUGGAAAGGUUCCUGGGUGACAGUCAAGCAAAGAAAACCUGCCUAAGUUACAGCAGGCAUGAUCUGCAGGUCCAGGUACUUUGUGAAGCACUUAUUUCUGGGAUUGAGCCUAACGUUGAUUAGUAAAUUGUUCUUGCAGCUUGCUAGAAAAAGCAUGUGGGUUUCUGGCUGUUAAGCAUGAAUGCCUGGGUUUGCAGUGCUGCCUCUUACACUCUGCUAGCGUGUACAAACAAAGCGUGUCUGGCAAAACAUCAGAACCCAAAAAGCUUAGGGUUUUUUAUUUGGGGGGGGGGGUUGUUUGUUGUUUUGGGGGGUUAUUUGUUUAUUAUUCUUGUUGUGGUUUUGUUUGGGUUUCUUUUAAGUUGUUCUGGUUACUCUAAUGAAAAAUACUGGUUUAUUUCUCCCUACAAAUCUCCCCCUCCAACAUUACUGUCACUUGCCUGAACUCUGCUCACCUGUUUCUCUGCAUUCUCAGCCUCAGCUUUUCAGUACACUAGAAGGCUGUGAGAAGAAGCACGCUGAGGGAUCUUGAAGUCCUGUUUAACAAAGCAUGAAGUGGAGGAGAGCUGCCAGAACAGGAACCCAAAGGUGCUGAGCUCCAGUCAACUGCUGUCAUGCUGUUCCCAGCUUAAUUCACCACCAGUGAUCCCAUGGUUAGUAGUCAUUGUGGAUACUUCUGCUAACAGCUCAACCCAUCACAAUAUUACAAAAGCAAGAUCCUUCCAGGGAUGAUGUAUUUGGGCUUUUCUCCUUUAAAUACCUUGAGAUUAUCAUUCUCCAUAUGUGUAUGCAGUAGUACGUGCUGUAAGCUGUUUGUCACUGAUGAAAACAUCACUAAACCCAGAGGAAGCUACUGUUCUGACUCGGCACAUGACUGAACAGGACUCAAUGCACUUCCAUCUUUGUGCUUAUUCUCACACAAGAUGCUCCUGCUCAUACUGUUUCUCCCUUAUUGCAUUAGGAAAAUGGAAUAGUAAAUAAUUGCUGUUAUAAGUUUGUUU